rnacentral:rRNA from 1 species
AUUGAACGCUGGCGGCAGGCCUAACACAUGCAAGUCGAGCGGAGUGGCGGACGGGUGAGUAAUGCCUAGGAAUCUGCCUGGUAGUGGGGGAUCACGUCCGGAAACGGGCGCUAAUACAGCAUCCUAUCAAGUGACCCUCGGUGGGAUUAGCUGGUUGGUGGGGUAAAGGCCUACCAAGGCGACGAUCCGUAACUGGUCUGAGAGGAUGAUCAGUCACACUGGAACUGAGACACGGUCCAGACUCCUACGGGAGGCAGCAGUGGGGAAUAUUGGGCAAUGGGCGAAAGCCUGAUCCAGCCAUGCCGCGUGUGUGAAGAAGGUCUUCGGAUUGUAAAGCACUUUAAGUUGAGAGGCGUUACCAACAGAAUAAGCAACGGCUAACUUCGUGCCAGCAGCCGCGGUAAUAG